rnacentral:lncRNA from 1 species
AGUUGCAAGUUCAAGGCCAUAGCAGAAGCACUCAUGGUACAGCCCUGUCAGAUUCCAAUGAAUCUGCAAAUUCUGCU